rnacentral:rRNA from 1 species
AACGAACGCUGGCGGCAUGCCUAACACAUGCAAGUCGAACGCUCCGCAAGGGGGAGUGGCGAACGGGUGAGUAACGCGUGGGAACCUGCCCAGCAGUUGGGGAUAACCGCGGGAAACUGCGGCUAAUACCGAAUACGUCCUAAGGGAGAAAGAUUUAUCGCUGUUGGAGGGGCCCGCGUCGGAUUAGCUGGUUGGUGAGGUAACGGCUCACCAAGGCAUCGAUCCGUAGCUGGUCUGAGAGGAUGAUCAGCCACACUGGGACUUAGACACGGCCCAGACUCCUACGGGAGGCAGCAGUGGGGAAUAUUGGACAAUGGGGGCAACCCUGAUCCAGCAAUGCCGCGUGAGUGA